UGUUGUUAUAUGUAGAUAUAUAAUACACAUUAUAGAUUACGAUAUUAUUCCCAUUUUUCAAAAGUCCACCUUUUAUCUCUUCUUUAUCUUCUAUCCUUCCCUUUUUCGGCAAGCAUCCGCUGCCGGAGAACCCAAUGUUCUCCGGUUUUCAACGGCAGUGGACGGUGGUUGGUAAAAAAAUUUCAAGUUCUCCGGAUCUAGGGAUAUGGUGGCUUCCUUACGGCCCCAAAAAAUCGACAUGCAAGCCUUCAAGAAACACAAUAGCACUUGAAAUAUGCUUAAAGAAACACAAUAGCACUUGAAAUAUGCAUUUGGUGUUUUGGGAUCUUUGUGUGUGUAACCGAUUAGUAUUUUGAUGACAAUGGUCUCUGUUUUGGUUGACAAUAAUUUUGUCUGAUCGGUUCUUUUUGUGUGUGAUUUUGCAGGUCUUUAUAA